AGCGGCGGACGGGUGAGUAACGCGUGGGCAACCUGCCCCAUACAGAGGGAUAGCCACUGGAAACGGUGAUUAAUACCUCAUAAGACCACAGUAACACAUGUUACAGAGGUAAAAACUCCGGUGGUAUGGGAUGGGCCCGCGUCUGAUUAGCUAGUUGGUAAGGUAACGGCUUACCAAGGCGACGAUCAGUAGCCGACCUGAGAGGGUGAUCGGCCACACUGGAACUGAGACACGGUCCAGACUCCUACGGGAGGCAGCAGUGGGGAAUAUUGCACAAUGGGCGAAAGCCUGAUGCAGCAACGCCGCGUGAACGAUGAAGGCCUUCGGGUUGUAAAGUUCUUUUCUUGGAGAAGAAUCCAUGACGGUAUCCAAGGAAUAAGCCCCGGCUAACUACGUGCCAGCAGCCGCGGUAAUACGUAGGGGGCAAGCGUUAUCCGGAAUCACUGGGCGUAAAGGGAGUGUAGGCGGUCAAGCAAGUCAGAGGUGAAAGGCAUCGGCUCAACCGAUGUAAGCCUUUGAAACUGUUUGA
rnacentral:rRNA from 1 species